UGAUGAGAUAGUUAACAUUUCCUGAAACUACCACGUCUCCUGUUGUCGUGCCUCCAGAGUUUUUAUGAGAAAUAUAUUUAUCUACUAAUGUUGAUUUAUUUGAUCUCCUGGAGUUCUGUAUUGCACAUAGAUAGUACACUGAAUAUGUACUUACAGGCAGAAGUUAUUAGAAGAAUGUAUAACCAAUAUAAGUUCCAUCAUUUCUUUUCAGUAUGCUUUGGUUUUGGAUGUGGAUUAGUAAGCUACAGGCCUUAUUACUCCCUUACUAUGCCUAUAGUCCUGACUGUGUUUUUCACUUUGGUCUUUGAAUUGGUUGGUAUGUCCUUUGGCCUUCCAGCCCACACGACAAGAUGCAAAGGAAGACCAUACAACAGAAACGAUGCAUAUUUUGGGUUAUGUAUUGCCCUUGGUGUUGCACUUCUUAACCUUGAUAAAAAUUAUGUUUACACCUUGUCCUACGGAUCCGGUAUAAUGGCAUUUGCUGUGAGAGGAGCUGAACAAAAAUACAAUUCCCUCUGGAAAGAAUGGUCAUCUCAUUAACCCAUGAUGAAUGGUUCAUCAAGAUGUAAUCAAGUCUGUUGUAUUAAUCAUCUUCUGAAGCUGCCACAGGAUUCAAUCAAACAGCAACAUUUGAAAAAUCGAAUUGGAUUAUAUUUUUGGUCUUUAAAAUUCUUUCAUCUAAAUUUUCAUCCUGUAAAUAUAUUUAAAAAGUAAAUACCUCUUUUUUAUUGUGCUGAGAAAACAAAAGUGAAACUAUUCAGAGAGUGCUUGGGACUUUCCAGUUGGCACUGUGUGGAAAGACCCAUGCACUCAGUGAAUAGUUUCGCUUUUGUAGGCCUAUUCUCAGUACAAUUAACACAUUAAAAACUUCUUUAUAGGAUUAUUGCAUUUCCAGUAUGCAACAAGUGAGGUUAAAGAGGUAAACCUGCUGCUCUCUAAUGUUGUGUUUUUAUCUGUGUAAAUAAUAAAUCAUUCAUGUGCAAAUUCACACUGCUGUUGUCCCCUUGAGCAAGGUACUUUACCUCGAUUGCUCCAGUGAAAAAAACCCAACUGUAUAAAUGGAUAAUUGUAUGUAAAAUAAUGUGAUAUAAUGUAUAAUGUGAUAUCUUGUAACAAUUGUAAGUCACCCUGGAUGAGGGUGUCUGCUAAGAUAUAAAUAAUAUAUAUUUUC